GCGCUGCUGGUGUAGUGGUAUCAUGUAAGAUUAACAUUCUUGCGACCCUGGUUCGAUUCCUGGGUGGUGCA